rnacentral:rRNA from 1 species
AUUGGACCUGCUCAGUGAAUUUAUUAAAUAGCUGCAGUAUAUUGACUGUACAAAGGUAGCAUAAUCACUAGUUUUUUAAUUGAAAGCUUGUAUGAAGGGUUUAAUGAGAAAAUAACUGUCUCUUUUUAAUUUAAUUAGAAUUUUAUUUUUAAGUAAGAAAGCUUAAAUUAAUAGAUAGAAGACGAGAAGACCCUAUAGAAUUUUAUAAUUGGAUUUAUUUAUUUGUUUUAGUAUAAAUUUUAAAGUAAAUAAUAAUUAUUUGAUUGGGGUGAUAGAGAAAUUUAAUAAACUUUUUUUAUUAAUAUUCAUAUAUUUGUGGUUAGUUGAUCUUUUAGUAUUGAUUGUAAGAUAAAUUACCUUAGGGAUAACAGCGUAAUUUUUUUAAGAGUUCUUAUUGAAAAAAAAGAUUGCGACCUCGAUGUUGGAUUAAAAUUAAUUAUUGGUGAAGAAGCUAAUAAAAUGGGUCUGUUCGACUUUUAGAUUUUUACAUGAUCUGAGUUUAAACCGGCGUAAGCCAGGU